rnacentral:lncRNA from 1 species
UCAUCUCCAUUCUCUCCUCUUCUCCUCCUUCCCCUCGUCAUCUUGGCCACUGUUGCCAUUGGGAGCAGCAGUGAUGAACCCAAAGAGAAGAUGACCCACCUCCACUUCUACUUUUACGACUACUACGGUGGCCCGAACGCGACCACCAUCACCGUCGUCAGCCCUCCCGGCAACUCCUCCUUCGGGAGCAUCGGUGUGGGCGACAACAUUCUGAGGGAAGGGCCCGAGUCGAGCUCCAAGCUCAUC